GCCACCUUAGCUCAGUUGGUAGAGCACCUGAUUCGUAAUUAGGGGGUCAAGAGUUCAAGUCUCUUAGGUGGCUCCA
rnacentral:tRNA from 1 species